rnacentral:rRNA from 1 species
AACUGUGGCCAGCCUGCCAUGUACACACGCAAUCUCAUCUGAUCUCAGAAGUGAAGCAGGCUGGUCAGUUUCGUACUCGGAGGGAAGGAUACAGCCCUUU